UACGUAGGGGCCAAGCGUUGUCCGGAUUUAUUGGGCGUAAAGAGCUCGUAGGCGGUUCGGCAAGUCAGCUGUGAAAUCUCCACGCUCAACGUGGAGGGGUCAGCUGAUACUGCUGUGACUUGAGUCCGGUAGGGGAGUGUGGAAUUCCCGGUGUAGCGGUGAAAUGCGCAGAUAUCAGGAAGAACACCCGUGGCGAAGGCGGCUCUCUGGGACGGUACUGACGCUGAGACGCGAAAGCGUGGGGAGCGAACAGG
rnacentral:rRNA from 1 species